GGGCGUGUAGCUCAGUUGGCAGAGCGUUCGCUUUGCAUUCCUGCAAGAAAAAAAAAUGCGAAAGGUCUAGGGUUCAAUUCCCUACUCGUCCA